rnacentral:rRNA from 1 species
CACGUAGGGCGCAAGCGUUGUCCGGAAUUAUUGGGCGUAAAGAGCUCGUAGGCGGACUGUCACGGUCUGCUGUGAAAAAGCUGGGGGCUUAACCCUGGCCUUGCAGGUGGAUACGGGCAGACUAGAGGGUAGGGUAGGGGAGGAAUGGAAUUCCCGGUGUAGCGGUAGAAAUGCGCAGAUAUCGGGAGGAACACCGGUGGCGAAGGCGGUCUCUGGGC